rnacentral:rRNA from 1 species
AGUGAACGCUGGCGGUAGGCCUAACACAUGCAAGUCGAACGGCAGCACAGUAAGAGCUUGCUCUUACGGGUGGCGAGUGGCGGACGGGUGAGGAAUACAUCGGAAUCUACUUUUUCGUGGGGGAUAACGUAGGGAAACUUACGCUAAUACCGCGUACGACCUACGGGUGAAAGCAGGGGAUCUUCGGACCUUGCGCGAUUGAAUGAGCCGAUGUCGGAUUAGCUAGUUGGCGGGGUAAAGGCCCACCAAGGCGACGAUCCGUAGCCGGUCUGAGAGGAUGAUCAGCCACACUGGAACUGAGACACGGUCCAGACUCCUACGGGAGGCAGCAGUGGGGAAUAUUGGACAAUGGGCGCAAGCCUGAUCCAGCCAUACCGCGUGGGUGAAGAAGGCCUUCGGGUUGUAAAGCCCUUUUGUUGGGAAAGAAAAGCAGCAGGUUAAUACCCCGCUGUUCUGACGGUACCCAAAGAAUAAGCACCGGCUAACUUCGUG